rnacentral:rRNA from 1 species
GCUUGCUCUCUGGGUGGCGAGUGGCGGAGGGUGAGGAAUGCAUCGGAAUCUACUCUUUCGUGGGGGAUAACGUAGGGAAACUUACGCUAAUACCGCAUACGACCUACGGGUGAAAGCCGGGGACCUUCGGGCCUGGCGCGAAUGAAUGAGCCGAUGCCCGAUUAGCUAGUUGGCGGGGUAAGAGCCCACCAAGGCGACGAUCGGUAGCUGGUCUGAGAGGAUGAUCAGCCACACUGGAACUGAGACACGGUCCAGACUCCUACGGGAGGCAGCAGUGGGGAAUAUUGGACAAUGGGCGCAAGCCUGAUCCAGCCAUACCGCGUGGGUGAAGAAGGCCUUCGGGUUGUAAAGCCCUUUUGUUGGGAAAGAAAAGCAAUCGGUUAAUACCCGGUUGUUCUG